CGGACAUAUCACAUUGAAACACUACUUCCCGUACGAUUACCGAAGUUAAGCGACGUCGAGCCGAGUCAGUAACUAGAUGGGUGACUGAUUGGGAAUACCAGGUGCUAUC